GACGAACGCUGGCGGCGUGCUUAACACAUGCAAGUCGAACGGAAAGGCCCUGCGUUUGUGGGGUGCUCGAGAGGCGAACGGGUGAGUAACACGUGAGUAACCUGCCCCUGACAUUGGGAUAACUUCUGGAAACUGGGGCUAGUACCGGAUAGCAUCUCCUGCUGCAUGGUGGGGGUAGGUAAGCUUCGGCGGUUGGGGCUGGACUCGCGGCUUAUCAGCUGGUUGGUGGGGUAGUGGCUUACCAAGGCUUGGACGGGUAGCCGGCCUGAGAGGGUGACCGGCCACAUUGGGACUGAGAUACGGCCCAGACUCCUACGGGAGGCAGCAGUGGGGAAUAUUGCGCAAUGGGCGGAAGCCUGAGGCAGCGACGCCGCGUGCGGGAUGACGGCCUUCGGGUUGUAAACCGCUUUCGCCUGUGACGAAGCGAGAGUGACGGUAACUGGUGAAGAAGCACCGGCUAACUACGUG
rnacentral:rRNA from 1 species